rnacentral:rRNA from 1 species
UAGGGAAUAUUCCGCAAUGGGCGAAAGCCUGACGGAGCAACGCCGCGUGAGUGAAGAAGAUCUUCGGAUUGUAAAGCUCUGUCAACAGGGACGAUAAUGACGGUACCUGUGGAGGAAGCCAAGGCAAACUACGUGCCAGCAGCCGCGGUGAUACGUAGGUGGCAAGCGUUGUCCGGAAUAACUGGGCGUAAAGCGCAGGUAGACGGCAUAGCAAGCCAAGUGUGAAAGUUAGGGGCUUAACCUCGAAACUGCGCUUGGAACUGCUGAGCUUGAGUGCAGGAGAGGCAAGUGGAAGUCCCAGUGUAGCAGUGAAAUGCGUAGAUAUUGGGAGGAACACCAGUGGCGAAGGCGACUUGCUGGACUGCAACUGACGUUGAGAUGCGAAAGCUAGGGGAGCAAACG